GCUAUUCCUGCCCUUCCUACCGAGGACGAAGCCCUCAGCCUAAUCAAGGGCUCAAAAUAGACAAUUUCAAGAAAAAAAAAAUUAGUGCUUUCAAACAAAAGUUUCUUCUUUUGUCUUUGUUUGUAUUUUGUUUAUCUUGUCAAUUUAAAACUUGCCUUCGGUAGGAAUCGCUUGUCAACUCAACAUGAAAUGAUUAAACUGCUUUCAGGUUGCUCAAUAAAAUAUUUUGAUCUUUUGUGUAAAA
rnacentral:misc_RNA from 1 species